rnacentral:rRNA from 1 species
UACGUAGGGAGCAAGCGUUGUCCGGAAUCAUUGGGCGUAAAGAGCGUGUAGGCGGCUUGGCAAGUCUGACGUGAAAGCCCGCGGCUCAACCGCGGAUUGUCGUUGGAAACUGCCUCGCUAGAGUCCGGAAGAGGAGAGCGGAAUUCCUGGUGUAGCGGUGGAAUGCGCAGAUAUCGAGGAAGAACACCCGUGGCGAAGGCGGCUCUCUGGGACGGUACUGACGCUAGACGCGAAAGCGUGGGGAGCGAACAGG